CGUACCAUUCUUCAGAACCUGAUACUAAAUAACUCCUAAAUUUAUGACCUUCACCCGUCAGCUACCAGCAUGUCUGUAAUAGGAGCCUUUCUCUCCCUCAGGUAAAAACAGUGAUAGAACAAAAUCCCUGUUUUCUGAGAAGUGUUCAAAUUUGAGAUGGAUUACUAAAUUAUUCACAAGCCUAUGUUAAAUUUCAUGGUCACUUUCACUUUUAUUGUGUUCAGGAAAUAAAUAAGUAAAUAAAAUAACAUUGAUCCAGUCUUAUGCUAAGUAACUGACAUCUACAUAGACAGCUAAUUUCUUCCUGACCCCUGCUUAUUCAGUUUCUAAAGAGUUCCCAUAGAUAAAUUUUUAGGUAAGUGGAUCAUUGUUUUUGUCUCCCUCCUUGCCGUAUACCUAUAAACUAUACCUUCACAUGGCAAAGGCAGUCACAAUGGGUUGGAAAGAGUUAAAACCUCAUCUUCCACUCCUCCCUCUUUAUCGUUUUAAUUGGCUGUUCUGAUGACCUGACCACCUCUUUGAUACGCAUCAAAUGCCGACCCGUGAAAUAUGGAGUAUGUCAGCCUGCUGAACAAGGGUCAACCUGAUUGUCAAUAAGGCCAUCCAUCAGAGCUUCUGGCAUGGUGGAUCCAAUCCAGACCCAAAGUCCCAGCUGGAAAAGAAGUAGCCUCCUGGUGAUAACAACGUGUGCAAUGUUGGCCCGACAACUGGCACCGGGGUCACUGGCCCAGAGGCCAGAAGGCGGCAAACUUCAAACUGGAAAAAGGGUCCUCACCCUUUUCUUCAGGUUACCUACGGAUCUAGAUGGCUCAAUGUGGCGUAUGGCACAUGGUCUUUAUGUUCCAUGGAAAAAUGGAUUUAAAUGACAAGCCCUUCCAGAUCUGGGAAAGCCACCGUGGAAUCCUGCUUUUGUUCAUAUUAAAAUGGGACCUAUUGAGAUAACAAUACAAA